UAUACGUCAUGGCGCCAGAAGGGCAAGGAAACGAGCAUGCCUUUAUUCGGAUUUGCGCAAGGUUUGGUGCAGGGAAGGUUUCUGAUUGGAUAGGGGGCGGGGCGGAUGUUACGUGUUUACGUUUACUGGAAGAAAGCAUUGUAGUCCUCGCUCCAGAUAACAAGAUGCUUGAUGACGCCGUUUGCGCGCUAUAUAUGUCAUGGCGCCAGAAGGGCAAGGAAACGAGCAUGCGCAGAAAGACCGCAAUGAACUUAAAGAGGAAUGAGUGUAUACAAGUGCGAGAAAUUCUUUCAUUGGGAAUUAGAAACGGAAUAUUCCAGCCCCUUACAUCGGAUUGAAUUUUCAAUCGCAUUGGCUAUUUUCAUUCUGAAUUAGGUGUUUACAAGAUCACUUUUAAUAGGAAUGAACUUUCAUUCCAAAUGAAAAGGGAAUUAAACUGUCCAUGUAAACGCACUGACUGUUGGCGUGUUGGGUCAGUCAGAGAGGCCGUUUACACGUUGCCGGCUAUUUUCAUAAACGGACAUUUCACCGUCUCCGUUUUCAAAAAGAUCUUCAUUUACACUUAGCCGUGUAUAUAUACACAAGAGCAUGCCAAACCUGUAGGUGGCAGUGUAACGAGAAGCUCAAGCCUUCCAUGUAUCCAUUGUCACCAUAGCAACAAAGGUCGCACUUUUGACACAGGCGCAAGUUCCGGUGCAUACUGUGACGCCGGCUGCCUAUAACUCCGUUUAUCUCCGUUUACAUGCAAAUGCGCAACCGGAGUUUUCCAAAAUCUCCACUCUGGCCGGAGUUUUUAGAAAGACUCGUUUUCAGAGGAGAAAUCUCCGUUUGCGUGUAAAGAAGGGCACAAACGAAGGAAGAUGUCUCCGUUUAUCAAAAUCACUGUGUACGUGUAAACGGCCUCAGAGACUGAACAUCUGAGACUCUGCUCGUCAUGACAUCAGAACAUGACGAUGUGCUCAGUGUUUUUCUUAAGACUGAACAUCAGUGUAGUUUAAAGACUAAAAGUAAAAGACAAUAUUUAAUCUGGAGUUUUUAGCAGUGAGGAUAAAAACCUUCAGAUGACUUUGAGACAGUGCUGUCUCUGUAUCUGGGCUCGUUAACGACU